UACGUAGGUGGCAAGCGUUGUCCGGAAUUAUUGGGCGUAAAGCGCGCGCAGGCGGUCCUUUAAGUCUGAUGUGAAAGCCCACGGCUCAACCGUGGAGGGUCAUUGGAAACUGGGGACUUGAGUGCAGGAGAGAAGAGUGGAAUUCCACGUGUAGCGGUGAAAUGCGUAGAGAUGUGGAGGAACACCAGUGGCGAAGGCGACUCUUUGGCCUGUAACUGACGCUGAGGCGCGAAGCGUGGGAGCAAACAGG
rnacentral:rRNA from 1 species